rnacentral:rRNA from 1 species
UACGAAGGGGGCUAGCGUUGUUCGGAUUUACUGGGCGUAAAGCGCGCGUAGGCGGCUCGAUCAGUCAGGGGUGAAAUCCCAGAGCUCAACUCUGGAACUGCCUUUGAUACUGUCGAUCUGGAGUAUGGAAGAGGUGAGUGGAAUUCCGAGUGUAGAGGUGAAAUUCGUAGAUAUUCGGAGGAACACCAGUGGCGAAGGCGGCUCACUGGUCCAUUACUGACGCUGAGGUGCGAAAGCGUGGGGAGCAAACAGG